ACAAAUCCGCAUGACAAGAAUGAAAGAAUGUGAAUUUUCCUAUGGGUUCGACAACGUCUCGAAGAUAAGUACAGAUGUCUUCGUACCGAUCCGCAAGACUCUACUAAACCUGCUCAUGACUCGUGAGACCUAUGUAACCUAGGCUCUGAUACCAACUUGUCACGACUCAAAACUUUUGCUAUCGUGAUGGCGCCUAACGUGGUACUUGGCAAGCCGACACUUCAAAAUACUUCCAACACUUUUAAAUGAAAAAUAAGAAUAACACAUGUUUAAAUCAUCAAAACUCUCAAAAACUGGAUAGAAAGUCAAAACCCAAUACGAAAAUUCUCAAUAUCGGGGUGUCACUGAGUACAUUAGCGUCUAUACAACACAAGUCUAAAAAAUAAUGUCUAUGAAUGACUAAAACUAACUACAUAAAGUGGAAAGAUAGGGAAGGAGAGACAAGGUCUGCGAACGCCGGGCAUCUACCAUGAAACUCCAAUGAUCAAGCUGCGCAAAGAAAUCAACACCCACCGUGUCCGAAAAUACCUGGAUCUGCACAUAAGGUGCAUGGUGUAGAAAGAGUACAACCAACUCAGUAAGUAACAAGACUAAAUAAUAAACUGAAAGUAGUGACGAGCUUCACAAAUAUAGCUCAAUUACAGAAAUUACAACAUAGAAAGAUAGGCAUGCUUUCAAAUUCAAUAAUUAAGGCCAAAAUAGUUAAUUCAUGUCAAGUUCAAUUAAAGCGGGAUAUAAUAUCUCUCAGAAAUUACAUGACAAUAAUAUAUGCCAGCUGAAGUACCACAAUAAUGAAAUCAAGUGCAAAAUCUCAGAGCAACAGUCACUCAGUCCUCCUAUGCUCUCCAUCCUCACAGUUACUUAUUCCUCUCAAUCGCUCAGCACUCGCACUCAGUAGAUACGUGCGCUCACUGGGGUAUGUACAGACUCUGGAGGGGAUACUUUAGCCCAAGCGCUAUAACAAGCCAAUCAUGGCAUAAAUCAAUAAAAUAUGUUGCGGCGUGCAACCCGAUCCCAUAAAUUUCCUCACAAUCAGGCCCUCAGCCUCACUCAGUCAUCAACCUUUCCAGUCUCUCGGGCUCUCAGUAAUCAUGAUAAUCAACCCAAACAAGAAUGAUAUAAUGCAUCAAUAAAGAGUAAUAGAGACUAAGAUAUAAUAUGCAAGUAAAACUAUGAUUGAGUACAAGCAGCAAUUAGCAAAUAAUUUAAUGUGUAAUACGGCCUUUGUGGGUCCCUACAGUACCAACACAUAGCCUAAACAUGAUUUCUUACAUGAUUUUCAGUUUAAUUUCUAUAACACAUGGAGAAAAUAUGGAUAACAACAGAUUAUUCAACUACACAGUUCCAUGGAAUUGACCAAGUCAUCAUUCCUAUGGUGCACGCCCACGCGCUCGUCACCUAGCAUGCGCGUCACCUCUAAACCAAUCACAUGACACAUAAUAUAGGGUUUCAUACCCUCAGGACCAUAUUUAGAACUGUUACUUACCUCAAGCCAUGCAAAUCCCUACUCCAACACACCCUUGCCUUACGAACCGGCCUCCAAAUGCCUCGAAUCUAGCCACAAACAGUUCGAUACAAUCAACACGGACUAAAGGAAUUAAUUCCAUAAGAAAAAUACUAAGUUCUUAAUCAAAAGUUAAAAGUCGACUCAAAAGCCGGCCCCCAGACCCACAUCUCGAAAUCCGAUAAAAGUCACAAAACCCGAAAGCCCAUUUAACGAUGAGUCCAACCAUACCAAAUUUACCAAAAUCCGACACCAAAUCACCACCCAAAACCCCAAAUCAAACUCUCCAAAUCCCUAGCGUCAAAUUCCCAAAUUCCAUCUUAAAUACACAUAAACUAGGUGGGAAUUUCAAUGGGGAAAUAAUAUUAUUGAUUAAAAAUGAUCACAAGUGAAUUACUUCAAGAAACCCCUCAAAAAUCCCCUAAAUAAUCGCCUAAUCCCGAGCUUGAAAUGUUCAAAAUGAAGAAAUAUCGCGAACCCUUGAAUUUAAAUGUUCUGCCCAGCCUUUUCGUUUCUGCGGUUCAUUUAGUCACUUCUGCGGCACCGCUUUUGCCGUCAACCAUCCGCAUCUGCGCAAAUUGUCCGCUUCUGCGGACCAGCCUCCCCAGGCUCUCUACCGCUUCUAUGAUCCUCCACGUGCAGGUGUGAGUCCGCACUUGCGGAAUUGUUUCCGCACCUGCGAUACACCCGAGGCCAUACCAAAUAUCGCUCCAGCACUGCUCCAGCCGCACCUGCAGCCAACCCCUCAUAGGUAUGAUCACACCAGAAAACUCCGAGCUUCAGCAAUGCACUAAGUCCCAUUUUCGAUCCGUUAACCAUUUGAAAUUAACCCAAGGCCCCCCGGGACCUCAAUCAAAUGCACCAACAAGUCCUAAAACACGAUACGAACUUAGUCGAGCCCUCAAAUUACCUCAAACAACAUCAAAAACAUGACUCACACCCCAAUUUAAGCCUAUUAAAACUAAGGAAAUUCCAACUUCUACAAACGACGCCGAGACCUAUCGAAUCACGUCUGACUGACCCCAACGUUUGCACACAAAUCACAAAUGACACCACAGAUCUACUCCAACCCCCGAAAAUCUAAUCCAAGCCAGGUAACCACAAAGUCCACUCUCGGUCUAAUAUCCAAGUUUCCAAUUUUUGCCAUUUCAGGCCUAAUUCAACUAGUACCUCCAAAUCACUAUCUGGACAUGCUCCUAAGUCCAAAAUCAUCCAAUGGAGCUAACAUAACCACCAAAACUCUAUUCCGUAGUCAUUUACUCAUAAGUCAAUAUCCGGUCAAUCUUUUCAACUUAAGCUUCCAACUUUGAGACUAAGUGUCUCAAUUCAUUACGAAAUUUCUCCGGACCCGAACCGACUACCCCGUCAAGUCACAUAACAACUAUAAAUCACAAAAUAAGCAGUAAUUAGGGGAACAGGGCUACAACUCUAGAAACGAUCGGCUUGGUCGUUACACAUGAGUAAGACUAAGAGAAACGCUCAACUACCUACGAACCUUCUACCCUAAUCUUCGACCUCCACACCCUCUUGUCUAGGGCCAUGUCCUUAGUCAGCUCCAGUUGCGCCAUGUCCCGCCUAAUAACCUCUCCCCAAGACUUCUUAGGCCUACCUCUACUCCUCCUGCUGCCUACCGAGGCUAACCACUCGCACCUUCUGACUGGGGCUUCUAUACUUCUCCUCUUAACAUGCCCGAACCAUCGCAACCUCACCUCCCGCAUCUUAUCCUCCACAGGGGCCACUCUCACUUUUCCCAAAUAACUUUAUUCCUAAUCUUAUCCAACCGGGUAUGCCCACACAUCUACCUCAACAUCUUCAUCUCAGCUACUUUUAGCUUCUAGGUAUGAGAGCUCUUAACCGGCCAACACUCUGCUCCAUAUAACAUAGUCGGUCUAACUACAACCUUGUAGAACUUACCUUUAAGUCUCAAUGGCACAUUCUUAUCACAUAAGACACCGGAAGUGAGCCUUCACUUCAUCCAUCCUGCUCCGAUAUGAUGCGUGACAUAUUCAUCAAUAUCCCUGUUACCUUGUAUUAUAGAUCCAAGAUACUUGAAACUACCUCUCAUGGGGAUGACUUGCGUAUCAAGCCUUACUGCCAUAUCCCCUUCCUGGGUACUGUUGCUGAACUUGUACUCAAUUUAUUCCGUCUUGGUCCUGCUCAACUUGAAACCCUUAGACUCUACGGUCUGCCUCCAAAUCUCCAGCCUCUCGUUAACACCACCCGCAUCUUGUCAAUUAAAACUAUGUCAUCAGCAAAUAACAUACACCAUGGCACCUCACCUUGAAUAUGUCUCGUCAAUGCGUCCAUCGCCAAGGAAAAUACGAAUGGACUAAGAGUUGAUCUUGGUGCAACCCCAUCAUAACUGAAAAGUGUUCCGAGUCUCCUCCCGCUAACCUAACUCGAGUCUUGGCUUCAUCAUACAAGUCCUUAAUCACCCUAAUGUAGGCUACUGGAACCCCUUUAGCCUCCAAGCAUCGCCAGAGUACCUCUCUCGGAACUUUGUCAUAUGCUUUCUCUAGGUCAAUGAACAUCAUGUGCAAGUCCUUCGUCAUCUUCCUAUACCACUCCACCAAUCUCCUCACAAUGUGAAUGGCUUCCAUAGUCGAACGCCCCGGCAUGAAACCAAACUAGUUCUCAGAAAUGGACACACUAGUCCCCACCCUCACUUCAACUAUCCUCUCCCAAACUUUCAUAGUAUGGCUUAGGACUUAAACCCCCUAUAAUUAUUGUAGCUUUGGAUAUCACCCUUGUUUUUAUACAGAGGAAUCAUUAUACUCCACCUCCAUUCAUCGGGCAUCUUCUUCGUCCUAAAAAUGACGUUGAACAGAUUAGUGAGCCACUCCAAAUCUGCCCUACCUGCAUUCUUCCAAAAUUCCACAGGUAUUUCAUCUAGCCCAGUAGCUCUACCCCUGCACAUCUUACACAUAGCCCCUCGACCUAUUCUACUAUUAUGCGCCAAUAAUACUCGAAAUCCUGGCGCAUCUCGGAGUGCUCCAAGUCGCCCAGCACAAUGUCCCUAUCACCCUCUUUGUUCAGGAGUUUAUGGAAAUAUAUCUACCAUCUUUGUCUAAUCUGAGCCUCUUCCAUCAAAACUCUACCUUACUCAUCUUUCAUACAUUUAACUUGAUCCAGAUCACGAGCCUUUAUCUCUCUCACCUUGGCUAGCCUGUAUAGCUUCUUGUCCCCGCCUUUGUCCCCAAUCUCUUCAUACAAACGCCCAAACAUCGCAGUCUUAGCCGCAGUAAUCAAUAAAUUUGCCUCUUUCUUAGCCCUCCUAUACCCCUCCAUGUUCAUCCUCUUUGCCUCUUCGUCCAUGCUCUCUAUAAGCGUCAAGUAUGCCGCUUGCUUGGCUUCCACUUUCUCUUGUACCUCCUCACUCUGCCAACAGUCAUCUUCGUGGCCGCUAGAGAAACCCUUCGGGACCCCUAACACUUCUCUUGCAAUUACUUUAAUACACUCCGCUAUCGUGGUCCAUAUAUAGCUCGCAUCCCCACUGCUCCUCCAAGCUCACCGCUGUCGGGUUGACGAUACACGACCCUCUUCCUCCUCUUCCUCACAAUUUCUAAGUCCAUCACCAAUAAUUUAUGCUGAGUUAUGAGAUUCUUGCUUGGUAUAACCUUAUAAUCCAUGCAUAUACUCCAAUCUCUUAGUCCAUCACCAAUAAUCUAUGCUGAGUCGUGAGAUUCUUGCUUGGUAUAACCUUGCAAUCCAUGCAUAGACUCCUAUCGCACUUCCGGAAGACUCUUAUCAAUUUGAGUCUUGGCCAACGAACUCCGGAAUAUAUCCAAGUGCUCCUCCCUUUUCAGAAAACACGAGUUGGUAAUCACCAAAUCAAAGGCUUUAGCACAGUCCAACAAUGAAGUACCUCCUCUACUCCUAACUCCAAAGCCAAAGCCGCCAUGUACACCGUCAUACCCCCAGAUGUCCCCCCCCUCCCCCCCCCCAAUGUGACCAUUGAAGUCAUCUCCUAUGAAUAACUUCUCGGGGAGUGGAAUGCCACGUAUCAACCCGUCAAAUUCUUCCCAGAAGCACCUCUUAAUCUCCUCGUCAAAGCCCACUUGAGGCGCGUAAGCAUUAAUCACAUUUAAAGUAGACUCUCCCAUAACCAACUUAAUAGCCAUCAGUCUGUCGUUCACCCUCCUAACUUCUACCACUAGCUCCCUUAAUAGCCAUAACCAGCUUAAUACCCCAUUCUUACCCCUCUCGUGUCAUGAGACCCACAAUUUAAAUCCAACAGCAUCUCGAGCGUUCUACCCCACCCAUCUAGUCUUCUAGACACAAACUAUGUUAAUCUUCCUCUUCUGGAGGAUUUUUGCUAACUCUAUUGACUUUCCCGUUAAAGUUCCUAUGUUCUAGUAUCCCACUCCUAGCCUAGAGACUCCCUUGCCAGCUUUCCCCUCCCCCCAUCCCACCCAAAGACAUAACCUUAUUCCACUAUCACUCAUCCCAACCACUAUAAUCUACGGAACAUUACGCUAGAAAUGUCGCUAAAACAGACAAAAGAUUCAACUAAAGGAGGUAGGUCUAACACUUACAACUUUAACCACUAGAAAUAUGUAUAGAUAAUAGACAAGCAAAAAUUAAACUAAUGAUAACAAUAAAUAUCUAAAAGAAGGCCAACAGAACAACUACAAAGAAAUCAAAUUACGGUCUAGAAAUCCCUAAAUAGUUACACAAAGAAAAAUAUCCAGGCAGAUGCACUAAAAUAAUUAUAGGCAAUCAAGAAUUAGGAUUAAACUAACAUAAACUAAUUGGAUACUAGCAAGGGAGACAAAUAUAUUAAACAAAAAGCCUGAGGUACCAACUCCCAAUUAGUACAAAACCUGGGUGAAUCAUUGUAAGUGUCAAGGUCGCGCUGCCGUAGUAACCUUAGUCAAUUUUCCGCUGCCUCUAACCAAUUUUGAUGUCCGCCGCAUGCUCUGAUCCAGUAGUCCUGCAAAAACAGAAGGAGGGAACCAAAGGGAAAAGGGGGGAGGAAGAACAGAGGUAUAUGAAGAAAAACCCAACUAGCAAUUCACUAAAAGGCAAUAAUAAGAAUGACAAGAAUAUUAUCUAGUUUACUUUAGUGUUGAAAUCAAAACAGUGUUUAGCACAAAGAUAAUACAAAAAUUCCCAAAGAAGAUAAUAAAAGCAAGCAAUCACUUCAUUAUCUAUGUAAAGCUUGAGAUCACAUGUGAGCUGGAUCACUCAACUACUCUGUCCAAUCUUGAUUCCAGCUCUUCUGGAAUCAUAUUCAUUUCAUGUCAAGAUUUACAACAUGUCCAGAUUCAUUGAAUAUGAGAAUACUGGAUAAUUUCUCAUAAUAUUCCCUACUUCGAUGUUGAAUAUUUUUUAUUUACUGGUAGAACGGUUGAUAAUAUAACAAUCAACAAUUGCAGCAUCAUACAACACAAUCAAAUUAACUUUUCUAAAUUGGAAUUAAAUAUCAUUUAUCAAACUCCUCUAAAUGAAACUAAAGUAGACUUGGACAAACAAAUUGCAAAUACACUUUCCACCAGAAGACAUGCUGAAAUGGACACAUUUUGACCAAUUUCUAUGCUAUACUGACUGAGACAUAUCUGAAUCUGGUGCUGAAUUUACUAUAUAUGUUGCCCUUAAGUGAAGGGCUUCUAUGUUAUUUUCAAUCUUGAUAACACAAUCUCCAUUCAAAACUUCAUAGAUAUUACUACUAUAUUCCUCAUCACUUGACAAAUAAAACAGAAAAUAUGUUAUUGAUUCAUUAUCCUUUUGAAAGAAAGCAGAAUUGAUGUUCAGGCAACCUAAAUCUAUUGUCCGCACAUUUUAUAUUACAAACCUAGAAAGAAAAAAAAUUAAUAUUUAACAUUACGAAGAAAACUAAAAAUCUGUUUGUACCUUGAGAUUGAUUCAAACACCAUGCAGAGCAAAAAGAGGAAUAUCAGCUAGUGACAAUUGCGUCUUCUCUGAAGGUCCACAGGAGUUCUAAAAUACACAUGCAAGAGGAAAUAUUUCAAUUAAGUAGACUCAAAAUCACAGAAAUUAACCUACAAACCCAAAAAAGCUAAAAUUUACAACCUAAAAUACAUAAUGCAGAAGGAGAAAGAGGACUUACAUCUCGAAUUCAAAAACGAGUGUUAUAUCCCUCUUCAAAAUACACCGAUUCUAUCAAAAAUUUUGUUACCUUCAGUAGAGAAUCGAAAAACAGAAAAGCCACAAAUUAGAGAAAAAAUCAGUAAUGGGAAAACACAAAUUAAAAGAGAAAAUAAACCUAAAACACACAUGUAAGAAGAAAGAAGGACAGAAAAACAAAAUCAAAGAAUGGGAAAGAGGAAUUACCAUAGAUCUGAACCCGCAUCGUUCAAAAUAUAACCAGGAAGAAAGCAAAAUUUCGCAUCUCUUUCAUCACGAAGAAAAAAAUUACCAUACAAAAUUUCGCAUCUCUUUCAUUGUUUUUAAUCUUCAAGUGAGGGUUUUUAAAUUUUUCAAGUGAAAGAAAAUGGAAGCUGAAAAGCUUCUCUUUUGUGAAAGUGAAGGAGGGGUUUGGGAAAAAAAGAGGGAAAGGAUUAAAAAAAAAAAAAGGGGAACAAUGGGGUCAGUAGGUGCUUUUUU
rnacentral:lncRNA from 1 species